AUAAAAUCCGUGACGAGAAAGAGUAAGAUAGGAAACCUGUUCCCUAGAGAGUCGACAGUUGGUGAAAGUCGAUGUACAGAUCGUAUCUGAAAAUCAUCUCUGAGAUGCAAAGCCGAACAUAAGUAAGCUUUGACGGAAUUCCGCCGUUAAUUGGAGCGCGUAUGAUAGUACGUAGCUAAAGUGUCGUAUGUUUAUUUUUCAUACAUACGGAAUUUGGGUGGUAUCGCGAGUAUAAGAGGCUGGGACAUAACU
rnacentral:ncRNA from 1 species